AAUUGUGGCCGUAGCGGGAGUCGGUGAGUUAGCCGCUUUCAUAGGGAGCCCCCGAGCAGACGGUGCGCCGUAUCGUGUUCAUUUUGCAUUGGCUGUGCAAUUGAUGCCUAGCCGGCAUUGUGCGUGCAGUUUGUGCUUGUGGGAAAAAGGUUGUUCACGACAUGGCAAGCUGUUUGGGAUGGCAAACUGUGGCACGGUGAGCUUGCUGCAUUUGGUGCCUACGUGCCUAGCGGGGCGUGCUUGGGUGUUUUGGUUGCUAAUUGUUGCUUGCAAUGCUGGAAUGCAUUGUGUGGCUGCGAAUAGUUGCCUUUUCGUCCGGGCAUCGUGUACGUAUGGUGCGUGAGUGGUGAUUGGCUUGUAAUGGAACGUUGGAUCCCUGCCUGGGCAGCGACGGCGUGCCUUGCUAGCCUCUUCAGUUGGCGGCCCAAGUACGUGUUGACGUUGGGUGCUUUCGGUUUCCUGUGUUGUAUACCUAUCGUGUGGGCAUUCAAUCGGUUACAAACGUCCCGUUUCUGCCUUGUGCUGCGCCUCUUGGGGCUGCGGCUCGGGGUGAACCCCAAAGCAUUCGCCGUGUUCCACUCCCCGUGCAUUCUGACGCGUGUUCGGGUUGUUGGGCCAUGGCGUGUUGCUCGGUCUCUUGGAUGCGGAAAAUCAAGUGGGCACGAGGCCCUUGGCCCCUAUUUGUCCCGAAACUAAGCAUUCUAUGCUUUGUGCGAACGACGACCGUUGCCACUUUGAUCGAGUCCUCGUGGCUUCGAUCACGUGGUGCCGGCGCCGAUGAGGAAUGCU
rnacentral:misc_RNA from 1 species